AUCGAACGCUGGCGGCAGGCCUAACACAUGCAAGUCGAGCGGAUGAAGGGUGCUUGCUCCUGGAUUCAGCGGCGGACGGGUGAGUAAUGCCUAGGAAUCUGCCUGGUAGUGGGGGAUAACGUCCGGAAACGGGCGCUAAUACCGCAUACGUCCUGAGGGAGAAAGUGGGGGAUCUUCGGACCUCACGCUAUCAGAUGAGCCUAGGUCGGAUUAGCUAGUUGGUGGGGUAAAGGCCUACCAAGGCGACGAUCCGUAACUGGUCUGAGAGGAUGAUCAGUCACACUGGAACUGAGACACGGUCCAGACUCCUACGGGAGGCAGCAGUGGGGAAUAUUGGACAAUGGGCGAAAGCCUGAUCCAGCCAUGCCGCGUGUGUGAAGAAGGUCUUCGGAUUGUAAAGCACUUUAAGUUGGGAGGAAGGGCAGUAAGUUAAUACCUUGCUGUUUUGACGUUACCAACAGAAUAAGCACCGGCUAACUUCGUG
rnacentral:rRNA from 1 species